GGAGGAAAGCAGGGGAUCGUAAGACCUUGCGCUUUUGGAGUGGCCGAUGCCUGAUUAGCUAGUUGGUGGGGUAAGGGCCUACCAAGGCAACGAUCAGUAGUUGGUCUGAGAGGACGACCAGCCACACUGGGACUGAGACACGGCCCAGACUCCUACGGGAGGCAGCAGUGGGGAAUUUUGGACAAUGGGCGAAAGCCUGAUCCAGCAAUGCCGCGUGAGUGAAGAAGGCCUUCGGGUUGUAAAGCUCUUUCAGUCGGGAAGAAAAGGUUGUGACUAAUAAUCACAACUUAUGACGGUACCGACAGAAGAAGCACCGGCUAACUACGUGCCAGCAGCCGCGGUAAUACGUAGGGUGCGAGCGUUAAUCGGAAUUACUGGGCGUAAAGGGUGCGCAGGCGGCUUUGUAAGUCAGAUGUGAAAUCCUCGGGCUUAACCUGGGAAUUGCGUUUGAAACUACAAAGCUAGA
rnacentral:rRNA from 1 species